rnacentral:rRNA from 1 species
AACGAACGCUGGCGGCAUGCCUAACACAUGCAAGUCGAACGAGACCUUCGGGUCUAGUGGCGCACUGGUGCGUAACGCGUGGGAACCUGCCCUUAGGUUCGGAAUAACUUCCCGAAAGGGGUGCUAAUACCGGAUAAUGUCUUCGGACCAAAGGUUUAUCGCCUUUGGAUGGGCUCGCGUUGGAUUAGCUUGUUGGUAGGGUAAAAGCCUACCAAGGCGACGAUCCAUAGCUGGUCUGAGAGGAUGAUCAGCCACACUGGGACUGAGACACGGCCCAGACUACUGCGGGAGGCAGCAGUGGGGAAUAUUGGACAGUGGGCGAAAGCCUGAUCCAGCAAUGCCGCGUGAGUGAUGAAGGCCUUAGGGUUGUAAAGCUCUUUUACCCGGGAUGAUAAUGACAGUACCGGGAGAAUAAGCUCCGGCUAACUCCGUG